UGAUGCAGCAACGCCGCGUGAGGGAUGACGGCCUUCGGGUUGUAAACCUCUUUUAGCAGGGAAGAAGCGAAAGUGACGGUACCUGCAGAAAAAGCGCCGGCUAACUACGUGCCAGCAGCCGCGGUAAUACGUAGGGCGCAAGCGUUAUCCGGAAUUAUUGGGCGUAAAGAGCUCGUAGGCGGUUUGUCGCGUCUGCUGUGAAAUCUGGGGGCUCAACCCCCAGCCUGCAGUGGGUACGGGCAGACUAGAGUGCGGUAGGGGAGAUUGGAAUUCCUGGUGUAGCGGUGGAAUGCGCAGAUAUCAGGAGGAACACCGAUGGCGAAGGCAGAUCUCUGGGCCGUAACUGACGCUGAGGAGCGAAAGGGUGGGGAGCAAACAGGCUUAGAUACCCUGGUAGUCCACCCCGUAAACGUUGGGAACUAGUUGUGGGGUCCAUUCCACGGAUUCCGUGACGCAGCUAACGCAUUAAGUUCCCCGCCUGGGGAGUACGGCCGCAAGGCUAAAACU
rnacentral:rRNA from 1 species